rnacentral:rRNA from 1 species
UGAGGGGGGCUGCUCCUAGUACGAGAGGACCGGAGUGGACGCAUCACUGGUGUUCGGGUUGUCAUGCCAAUGGCACUGCCCGGUAGCUAAAUGCGGACGAGAUAAGUGCUGAAAGCAUCUAAGCACGAAACUUGCCCCGAGAUGAGUUCUCCCUGACUCCUUGAGAGUCCUGAAGGAACGUUGAAGACGACGACGUUGAUAGGCCGGGUGUGUAAGCGCAGCGAUGCGUUGAGCUAACCGGUACUAAUGAACCGUGAGGCUUAACCUUACAACGCCGAAG